UGUGUUUGUCUUUGGCAGGCAAGAUUGA
rnacentral:piRNA from 1 species